UACAGAGGUCCCAAGCGUUGUUCGGAUUCACUGGGCGUAAAGGGUGCGUAGGUGGUUGCGCAAGUCUGAUGUGAAAUCUCCGGGCUCAACCCGGAAAUGGCAUUGGAAACUGCGUGGCUAGAGGGUUGGAGGGGGGACUGGAAUACUUGGUGUAGCAGUGAAAUGCGUAGAUAUCAAGUGGAACACCAGUGGCGAAGGCGAGUCGCUGGACAAGACCUGACACUGAGGCACGAAAGCUAGGGGAGCAAACAGG
rnacentral:rRNA from 1 species